AGGGAAACAACCCAGACCGCCAGCUAAGGUCCCAAAGUCAUGGUUAAGUGGGAAACGAUGUGGGAAGGCCCAGACAGCCAGGAUGUUGGCUUAGAAGCAGCCAUCAUUUAAAGAAAGCGUAAUAGCUCACUGGUCGAGUCGGCCUGCGCGGAAGAUGUAACGGGGCUAAACCAUGCACCGAAGCUGCGGCAGCGACACUAUGUGUUGUUGGGUAGGGGAGCGUUCUGUAAGCCUGUGAAGGUGGCCUGUGAGGGUUGCUGGAGGUAUCAGAAGUGCGAAUGCUGACAUAAGUAACGAUAAAGCGGGUGAAAAGCCCGCUCGCCGGAAGACCAAGGGUUCCUGUCCAACGUUAAUCGGGGCAGGGUGAGUCGACCCCUAAGGCGAGGCCGAAAGGCGUAGUCGAUGGGAAACAGGUUAAUAUUCCUGUACUUGGUGUUACUGCGAAGGGGGGACGGAGAAGGCUAUGUUGGCCGGGCGACGGUUGUCCCGG
rnacentral:rRNA from 1 species